UGCGUAGGCGGAAUGAUAAGUUAGUGGUGAAAUCCCCCGGCUCAACCGGGGCAUUGCCAUUAAUACUGUCAUUCUUGAGUAUAGUUGAAGUGGGCGGAAUGUAUCAUGUAGCGGUGAAAUGCUUAGAUAUGAUACAGAACACCGAUAGCGUAGGCAGCUUGCUAAACUAUAACUGACGCUCAGGCACGAAAGCGUGGGGAGCAAACAGGAUUAGAUACCCUGGUAGUC
rnacentral:rRNA from 1 species